rnacentral:rRNA from 1 species
GGUGGAGCGAUUUGUCUGGUUUAUUCCGAUAACGAGCGAGACUCUGCCCUGCUAUUUAGUGUCCAGAUUCUUGGGUCUGGGUAGCUUCUUAGAGGGAUAAGCGGUGUUCAGCCGCACGAGAUAGAGCGAUAACAGGUCUGUGAUGCCCUUAGAUGUCCGGGGCUGCACGCGCGCUACACUGAAAGAAUCAGAGUGCGUUUUGCCUAGUUCGGAAGAACCGGGUAACCCAAGUAAACUCUUUCGUGCUUGGGAUAGGGAAUUGCAAUUAUUUCCCUUAAACGAGGAAUUCCCAGUAAAUGCGGGUCAUAAGCUCGCGUUGAUUACGUCCCUGCCCUUUGUAC